CCAAAGUGCUGGGAUUCCAGGCAUGACCCUUGCCCGCCCAUUUCUGUUGUUUUAGGCCACCACUUUGGUGGUCAUAUAACAGCCACAUUCUCUUACUUCCCAUCCCUUUCUCAUACCCACACUGUUGCUCCCCCUCCCCUCUGACCCAUCUUGGCACCACUUCCCUGGUCUCUGCUCUCCCCUUUGCCUCCACAGUCUGCAUCCCCACCAAUAAUCAGAGAGACCUUCCCUUCCCUUCCCUUCCCUUCCCUCCCCUCCCCUUCCCUUCCCUUUUUUUUUUUUUUUUUUU
rnacentral:lncRNA from 1 species